rnacentral:rRNA from 1 species
AUAAGUAAAGUAAGGGUGUAUGGUGGAUGCCUUGGCUCUCAGAAGCGAUGAAGGACGUGAUAAGCUGCGAUAAGUAACGGUGAGGUGCAAAUAACUUUUGAUCCGUUAAUUUCCGAAUGGGGCAACCUGUCAAGUUGAAGAUUUGACAUUCUUUUAAAGAAAGCUAACCUAGGGAACUGAAACAUCUAAGUACCUAGAGGAAAAGAAAACAAUAGUGAUUCCCAAAGUAGUGGCGAGCGAAAUGGGAAAAGCCCAAACCAAAUUUGUUUAGGCAAAUUUGGGGUUGUAGGACUACAAUAUGAAAUAUGUUUGAAUAGUUGAAUGAGUUGGAAAGCUCAACCGUAGGAGGUUAUAGUCCUGUAAAUUAAAUUUAAAUAUUAUCUAGUAGUAUCCUGAGUAGGGCGGGACAUGUGUAAUCCUGUCUGAAUUUGCCAGAACCAUCUGGUAAGGCUAAAUAUUACUGAGAGACCGAUAGUGAACAAGUACCGUGAGGGAAAGGUGAAAAGUACUCUGAAUAAGAGAAUGAAAUAGAUCCUGAAACCAUACACUUACAAGCGGUCGGAGCCUUCGGGUGACGGCGUGCCUUUUGCAUAAUGAGCCUACGAGUUACUCCUCGUUAGCAAGAUUAAUCUUUUAAGAAGAGUAGUCGAAGCGAAAGCAAGUCUUAAUAGGGCGAUAAAGUUAGCGGGGGUAGACGCGAAACCAGGUGAUCUACCCAUGGUCAGGUUGAAGCUUCGUUAGUCCGAAGUGGAGGACCGAACCAAUAUACGUUGAAAAGUAUUUGGAUGAACUGUGGGUAGGGGUGAAAGGCCAAUCAAACUUGGAAAUAGCUCGUACUCCCCGAAAUGCAUUUAGGUGCAGCGUUGAGAAUUAGUGUUAUAGAGGUAGAGCUACUGAUUGGGCUAGGGGGCUUCACCGCCUACCAAACCCUGACAAACUCCGAAUGCUAUAACAUAUGCUCAGCAGUGAGGGCAUGGGUGCUAAGGUCCAUGUCCGAGAGGGAAAGAACCCAGACUAUCAGUUAAGGUCCCAAAAUAUAUACUAAGUUGUUUUAACGUUGUUUAAUUGCUUUGACAGCUAGGAUGUUGGCUUGGAAGCAGCCAUUCAUUUAAAGAGUGCGUAACAGCUCACUAGUCGAGCGAUUAAGCGUGGAUAAUAAUCGGGCAUAAGUAUAUUACCGAAACUAUAGAUUUAUGGUAGGGGAGCAUUCUAUACACAUUGAAGCAGUAUUGUGAAGUAUUGUGGAGAGUAUAGAAAAGCAAAUGUAGGCAUAAGUAACGAUAAAAUAGGUGAGAAACCUAUUCACCAAUAGACUAAGGUUUCCUCAGCUAUGCUAAUCAGCUGAGGGUUAGUCGGGACCUAAGAUUAAUCCGAAAGGAGAUAUCGAUGGAAAACAGGUUAAUAUUCCUGUACUAAUUAUUAUUGUGAUGGGGUGACGGAGUAGUGAAAGAUUCGCGUACUGACGGAAUAGUACGUUAAAGGGUGUAGGUAUUGAUUUUAUAGGUAAAUCCGUAGAGUUAGCUGAACCUGAUAGUACCACAAUCAAAUUUUGAGCGUGGAUAGUAAUCCUAAUCAGACUUCCAAGAAAAACCUCUAAACUUCAGAUAAUAAUUACUCGUACCCUAAACCGACACAGGUAGUCAAGAAGAGAAUUCUAAGGUGCUCGAGUGAUUCAUGGCUAAGGAACUAGGCAAAAUGGUCUCGUAACUUCGGGAGAAGAGACGCCUCACUUUGUGAGGCCGCAGUGAAUAGGCCCAGGCGACUGUUUAUCAAAAACACAGGACUCUGCAAAAUCGAAAGAUGAAGUAUAGGGUCUGACACCUGCCCGGUGCCGGAAGGUUAAGAGGAGAGCUUAGAUAUUUAUAUCGAAGGUUUGAAUUGAAGCCCCGGUAAACGGCGGCCGUAACUAUAACGGUCCUAAGGUAGCGAAAUUCCUUGUCGGGUAAGUUCCGACCUGCACGAAUGGUGUAAC